rnacentral:rRNA from 1 species
GCUCAGGACGAACGCUGGCGGCGUGCUUAACACAUGCAAGUCGAGCGGAGACAUUAUUGCGGAAGUUUUCGGAUGGAAGCGAUAAUGUUUUAGCGGCGGACGGGUGAGUAACGCGUGAGCAACCUUUCCUUCACUGGGGAAUAACACAGGGAAACUUGUACUAAUACCGCAUGAGACCACGGUAAGGCAUCUUACAGGGGUCAAAGAUUUAUCGGUGAAGGGUGGGCUCGCGUCCGAUUAGGUAGUUGGUGAGGUAACGGCCCACCAAGCCGACGAUCGGUAGCCGACCUGAGAGGGUGAUCGGCCACAUUGGGACUGAGACACGGCCCAAACUCCUACGGGAGGCAGCAGUGGGGAAUAUUGGGCAAUGGGCGAAAGCCUGACCCAGCAACGCCGCGUGGAGGAAGAAGGUUUUCGGAUCGUAAACUCCUGUCCUCAGGGAAGAGCAGAAGACGGUACCUGAGGAGGAAGCCCCGGCUAACUACGUGCCAGCAGCCGCGGUAAUACGUAGGGGGCAAGCGUUGUCCGGAAUGAUUGGGCGUAAAGGGCGCGUACGCGGCCCGGUAAGUCUGGAGUGAAAGUCCUGCUUUUAAGGUGGGAAUUGCUUUGGAUACUGUCGGGCUUGACUGCACGAGAGGUAAGUGGAAUUCCCAGUGUAGCGGCGAAAUGCGUAGAGAUUGGGAGGAACACCAGUGGCGAAGGCGACUUACUGGACUGUAACUGACGCUGAGGGCGCGAAAGUGUGGGGGAGCAAACAGGAUUAGAUACCCUGGUAGUCCACACUGUAAACGAUGAAUGCUAGGUGUAGGGGGUAUCGACCCCUUCUGUGCCGGAGUUAACACAAUAAGCAUUCCGCCUGGGGAGUACGGCCGCAAGGUUGAAACUCAAAGGAAUUGACGGGGGCCCGCACAAGCAGCGGAGCAUGUGGUUUAAUUCGACGCAACGCGAAGAACCUUACCAGGUCUUGACAUCCAGGUAAAGCGGUAGAGAUACCGUGUGUGCUUGCACAAUCUGAGACAGGUGGUGCAUGGUUGUCGUCAGCUCGUGUCGUGAGAUGUUGGGUUAAGUCCCGCAACGAGCGCAACCCCUACGUUUAGUUGCUACGCAAGAGCACUCUAGACGGACUGCCGUUGACAAAACGGAGGAAGGCGGGGACGACGUCAAAUCAUCAUGCCCCUUAUGUCCUGGGCUACACACGUAAUACAAUGGCCGUCAACAACGGGAAGCAAAAUCGCGAGAUGGAGCAAAUCCCCAAAAACGGUCUCAGUUCGGAUUGCAGGCUGCAACUCGCCUGCAUGAAGCUGGAAUUGCUAGUAAUCGCGGAUCAGCAUGCCGCGGUGAA